CAACUUGGGCCGCGCCAGAAAUCUCGCCCCAGUCAACCCACAUGCAUCACAAAAUCCACGCGAAUUCCUCGCCAAAUCUUCGCUCCUCCCAGUCUCCCACGCACUCAAUCGCCGCCGCCGCUCGCUCCGCAUCAAAGAGAUACCAUCCUCCAUCCUCUCCAGCAUCACCGUCCUAUCCCCUCCGCCGUCACCUUCCGUCCCCCCCCCCCACUCCUACCGACCAUGUCCUCGAUUUCGGCCGCCUCUUCUCACCGGGAGGCCAUGGAUUCAGUCGGCCAGUAUAUCCAUGCGCCUGAUUCGAAGGCCAGGGCGUCGAUGUCAAGCUGUAUGCCUGUAUGAAGACGUUCAGGGGUGUGCCAUGGCCGACAAGGGCUGCAUGAAGCCCCUCCAGAAGGAGUAGCACGCGCUCGGCAAGGAGCUGCUGCCCCCGAUGACGUUCCCGAGUUCUACAGCCGGCUACGUCUUGGAGCUGAUGCAGCUAGCUGGUCGCGUCUCUGACCUGCUGCUGUCCGCAAGGAAGCCAUCACAGAGAGGUGACGAUUGGGAUAAGACGCAACUUGUUGUGUAUUCAUUGCUGCAAACUGAAAUCAACAACAUCAUAUCCAGCAACCUGAUUUGUGUCUCUGAUAUGCAAGGGAGUAGAAAAGUCAAUAGAGAUAUUGAUUUUUUUGGUACAUGUGUUGGCUGUCAUAGAGUUACUCAUUACUGUUCGUGCGUUCAGUGAAUUUUAUAGGAAAAUGAUGGGCUGUUGGUGUGGCUGAAACAGAAAUUCGUCACACUCUAUAAGCUGGUUGUCUGAUAGUGUUGGUCUUACUAGCAUUACUGUAAUGGUGUCGUAUGUUGUAGGGUAAUUUGAGUGUGCUACGAUUUAGGGAUGCAAAUACCACUUAAGCAUUGAGUCUUUGAGUAGUUGCGACACUCCAGUGUUACGUCAUCUAUUUAGUGUUAUGUGGUAUCGUGGUUUUUUUUCUAUCAGGAUUACGUUUUAUCAAGAAAUUGCAUCCAACGGUAGAUGGUAUGAAGACAUUUGGGAGCACAAACAGAGGUAUGGUAUGAACAUAAAACCUGUCCUACCUACAGUUCUCUAAUUGUUAAUUGGCCGUGUGUGAUUCUAUAAAUCUCAUGUGAGGUUCAUGAGAUCUGAUGUGGUUUGGGAUGUGAUCUGAUAGACUUGCAUGACCUCUUUAGUGCAGAACUGCAGAUGAGGGAAGUUGUGAGGUAAAAGAUCGGUGUGGGUUGACCAGUUAUUCAGAUUGGAGAACAUAUAGUUAGGUCAGACCUCUUUUACCAGAUUAUCAGUGACAUGGAGGUUGUGGUCGAAUAAAUGUACUUAUAGGUUCCAAAGACCUUGUACUAUUUGAUAUGGCACCACUGGAGUAGCAGCGCAUGUACCACAUCCUCAGCUUACUUUUAUAUUAAAUAAAGUAAAAAAAAUAUUAUCGUGUCUAUGUUCAAAAGAAGGAUGUGAGAGGAAAGUGGGAAGGUGAGGACAGCUCCUCGGGCUGAGGGAGAGCAUAAUACCCGGUGGAUUAUGAGCGCUUCCUCCCCUUCCUCGUAUCAGUGCAACGAGAUGUGCUAUGUUCUACUCUGCCUCUGAAUAAUCUGGCGUCGCUGCACUAGCUGAUUGAUUCUUUCGGAUUUCAGGUUUGGCCGCAACUGAAAGAAGAUCGACGAGCAUCAAAUCGUGGAUUUUUUUUGCCCACAACACCCAAACGACAUGGUAAAAACACUCUAACUAGAAUUCCAGCUUUGGUCAUAAUCUAAUCCCUUCCCUCAUUCUUGGCUUCUUGUGUUGCUAAGCAUUAACCUUCAGCAUUUGUUGUGCAUGUACACAGCCUCCGAAUUCACUCUGUACAUAAAGAAUGGGACUACGGGUGUUGACUUGCUGAUUAUGUUUAAUUGCCAGUAACUCCGGAAUAGAAGUAGGAUAGGCCGGUUGCUUGAACUUGGCUCGCGCACCUACACUGUGUUCUUUGCCAAAAUAAGGUUCUGGUUGCAUUAAGGUGUGUAGUGGAACCAUUUCUACAUGCACUUAUUGUUAUGAUGCAUUGAAUAAAUAGAUGCUUUUUUAAGUUUUGUAGCCUGUGAUUAUAGUUUUUUCUUUUCGUUUGUAAAUAUUGUAUAGUGGAUGAAAUUUUAUAUGUAACUAUUUUGGAGAAAGGCUUUUCUUAUAUCAUGGUUAAGUCCAGUGAUGCGAUUUGCAUUCAAUAGUACUGCAUUUAUUUUUUUCUCCAUGUUUCAAUUGUUGCAUCAAUUACGAAUUUACAAGUACUGCUUUUCUGAUUAUUUUUCUUAGGAUGUUUCCGUUCUAUCUAAUUUAAAUUAUCCAUAGUAGUAGCUGAGAUAUGCACAUGAAAUUUAACGCAGACAAAUUAUUUGUAUCAUGCGCUACUCCGAUAUAAUAUCUGGCAGCGAAGUCUUCAACACUUGACAAGUUUGGCUUGUUAGCUCAAGACAAAGAUUCUGGAUAGAGCAGGCAUUGCCCGUUUUCCACUCCAGAUUUGUCUGGCUUCAAGUUUGUCUUCCAGCAUGUAGGAUGGUAGGUGGAGGUCAUUGAAAGAACAAAGGGAUGAUCGUUGUGCUUAUUCAGGCUUUGACCUUGGAGAAUCCAAGACCACCCCAGCCAGUCAGUCGUCAAAGACUGUUUGGAACAUUCCACCCGAUAAUCAUGUUGCAGAUACAUCUGAAAAGGCAUUCUAACUUCUUCUUAUGUUGUGCCAGCUAGGUUUCAUUUUGUUUCAGCUUCAGAAUGCUCAUAUUAGUAUUCAGCUUCUUGAAACAAGCAAAUAUUAUCCUAGACUAAAUAGGAAUUCUGAAUAGAAUAUCUGAUAUUUGUGGUCAUUUAAGAAGACAUACAUGUCAUGCUAGAAAGCAGUCCGUUGAUUUACCUUUCGCUUUUGUUUCCCUUUUCUUCAUCGUUCUUCUGUUCUUAUGGCUGACCGUGCUUCUUUACUUUGCAAGUUGGGUCGUGGGAGUUAGGAAGACAUGAAGAUGAACCGUGAAGGGCAAGUAGAAUCUGAUAUUGUUAUAUUGUAAUGUAUAGGGAUGGAUGCUGUUAUUUGACAACGAUAUUGUGGUCAUUUAAGAAGACAUACAUGUCAUGCGAGAAAGCAGUCCAUUGAUUUACCUUUACCUUUCACUUUUGUUUCCCUUUUCUUCAUCGUUCUUCUGUUCUUAUGGCUGACCGUGCUUCUUUAUUUUGCAAGUUGGGUCAUGGGAGUUAGGAAGGCAUGAAGAUGAACCGUGAAGGGCAAGAAGAAUUAUGGAGGUGAGUUGUGACUUGUGAGUUGUCUCUGAAUCAGAAUUUCUUGAUAAUUAUUCCGGUUCUUUUAGAGUUCCAAUUGAAGGCCUAAUUGGAGUUUAAUGUAUGAUGGAUCCAAGACAACAGAGUGGAAUAUACCUUUCUUCCUAUUCGAUUUAUGAGCUUACAUCCAGACAAAUUGUCUUCAAAGACUAGAAAUUUCGAGGCGUCUUUUGUUGUGUGUUCGUCGUAGAAAUCAGAAUUCAGUGCAUUUUGUAGCUACCAGCUCUUACAGUGUCACACGUUCCGCUACAACUAGCCCUUUCUGUUAUGUUUAAAACUAAUACUACCAGCAUUGCCUUGCAAUGGUUUCUUGAGCAUGUCUACAUGGCGGUCCAGCAACUUUUUUUGCAGCAUUAUACAAACAAGUUCGUUUUUAAGAACCCCGGUAGACGACCUGAGAAGAGUUGAAGCCGUUUAUCAUAGUUUGGAAUAUUUUCACCGUCAGCAGCCACAAGAGAUAUCAAGGGAUUGAGCACAUGCAGUGAUGUCACUCGGCACUAAAAAACUCCAGCUUUUGGAUGAUUGUCGUUUUGUGAGGCGAAAGACCCACAUCUUAGCAUUAGUUGUUGUUCUAUAAAUUUGGCACGUAAAGAUGACAUGAUUUUCUUCUACUUUAAUUAUCUUGAGAUAAACUAGCUGCAUUUUACAUGAACCGGGUAA